rnacentral:rRNA from 1 species
GACGAACGCUGGCGGCGUGCUUAACACAUGCAAGUCGAACGGUGAACCUCUUCGGAGGGGAUCAGUGGCGAACGGGUGAGUAACACGUGGGCAACCUGCCCCCGGCUCUGGGAUAACUCCAAGAAAUUGGGGCUAAUACGGGAUGUUCACCGCUUCCCGCAUGGGUGGUGGUGGAAAGGGUUUCCGGCUGGGGAUGGGCCCGCGGCCUAUCAGCUUGUUGGUGGGGUAGUGGCCUACCAAGGCGACGACGGGUAGCCGGCCUGAGAGGGUGACCGGCCACACUGGGACUGAGACACGGCCCAGACUCCUACGGGAGGCAGCAGUGGGGAAUAUUGCGCAAUGGGCGGAAGCCUGACGCAGCGACGCCGCGUGGGGGAUGACGGCCUUCGGGUUGUAAACCUCUUUCAGCAGGGACGAAGCGCAAGUGACGGUACCUGCAGAAGAAGCACCGGCCAACUACGU